AGAACGAACGCUGGCGGCAGGCUUAACACAUGCAAGUCGAACGCCCCGCAAGGGGAGUGGCAGACGGGUGAGUAACGCGUGGGAAUCUACCUGGUUCUACGGAAUAACUGAGGGAAACUUCAGCUAAUACCGUAUACGCCCUAAGGGGGAAAGAUUUAUCGGUGCCAGAUGAGCCCGCGUAAGAUUAGCUAGUUGGUGGGGUAAUGGCCUACCAAGGCGACGAUCUUUAGCUGGUCUGAGAGGAUGAUCAGCCACACUGGGACUGAGACACGGCCCAGACUCCUACGGGAGGCAGCAGUGGGGAAUAUUGGACAAUGGGCGAAAGCCUGAUCCAGCCAUGCCGCGUGAGUGAUGAAGGCCUUAGGGUUGUAAAGCUCUUUCAGUGGGAAGAUAAUGACGGUACCCACAGAAGAAGCCCGGCUAACUCGUGCCAGCAGCCGC
rnacentral:rRNA from 1 species